CCUACGGGGGCAGCAGUGGGGAAUAUUGCACAAUGGGCGCAAGCCUGAUGCAGCCAUGCCGCGUGUGUGAAGAAGGCCUUCGGGUUGUAAAGCACUUUCAGCGAGGAGGAAGGCGGUGAGGUUAAUAACCUCAUCGAUUGACGUUACCCGCAGAAGAAGCACCGGCUAACUCCGUGCCAGCAGCCGCGGUAAUACGGAGGGUGCAAGCGUUAAUCGGAAUUACUGGGCGUAAAGCGCACGCAGGUGGUCUGUCAAGUCGGAUGUGAAAUCCCCGGGCUCAACCUGGGAACUGCAUUCGAAACUGGCAGGCUAGAGUCUUGUAGAGGGGGGUAGAAUUCCAGGUGUAGCGGUGAAAUGCGUAGAGAUCUGGAGGAAUACCGGUAGCGAAGGCGGCCCCCUGGACAAAGACUGACGCUCAGGUGCGAAAGCGUGGGGAGCAAACAGGAUUAGAUACCCGAGUAGUC
rnacentral:rRNA from 1 species